rnacentral:rRNA from 1 species
GACGAACGCUGGCGGCGUGCCUAAUACAUGCAAGUCGAGCGAAUCGAUGGGAGCUUGCUCCCUGAGAUUGGCGGCGGACGGGUGAGUAACACGUGGGUAACCUGCCUGUAAGACUGGGAUAACUUCGGGAAACCGGAGCUAAUACCGGAUACUUUCUUUUCUCGCAUGAGGGAAGAUGGAAAGAUGGUUUCGGCUAUCACUUACAGAUGGACCCGCGGCGCAUUAGCUAGUUGGUGAGGUAACGGCUCACCAAGGCAACGAUGCGUAGCCGACCUGAGAGGGUGAUCGGCCACACUGGGACUGAGACACGGCCCAUACUCCUACGGGAGGCAGCAGUAGGGAAUCUGCCGCAAUGGACGAAAGUCUGACGGAGCAACGCCGCGAGAGCGAAGAAGGCCUUCGGGUCGUAAAGCUCUGUUGUUAGGGAAGAACAAGUACGAGAGUAACUGCUCGUACCUUGACGGUACCUAACCAGAAAGCCACGGCUAACUACGUGCCAGCCGCCGCGGUAACAC